rnacentral:lncRNA from 1 species
AUUCAAGUAAAUAUCAUCAAAACCAUCUUGUACUGGCUAAAAAAAAUGAAUGGUGGAUCACUGGAAUAGAUGGUGAGACCAAGUUUAAGAUUUCAUUAAAAGAAAUUCCUGAAGAAGCAAAAUUGCACAUGACUUCAUGAGGGGGAUUCUAGAAGGGAACAGUAACCAGGAACUUGAGUUUGGAAGACCUC